UACGUAGGCAGCAAGCGUUGUUCGGAGUUACUGGGCGUAAAGGGUGCGUAGGCGGCUUCUUAAGUCUGGUGUGAAAUCUCCCGGCUCAACUGGGAGGGUGCGCCGGAUACUGAGGGGCUAGAGUGUGGGAGAGGAAAGUGGAAUUCCUGGUGUAGCGGUGAAAUGCGUAGAUAUCAGGAGGAACACCGGUGGUGUAAACGGCUUUCUGGACCAUAACUGACGUGAGGCACGAAAGCGUGGGUAGCAAACAGG
rnacentral:rRNA from 1 species